GACGAAGGAUGCAAGCGUUAUCCGGAUUCAUUGGGUUUAAGGGGAGCGUAGGUGGCCUUAUAAGUCAGUGGUGAAGUCUCUCGGCUUAACUGAGAAAUUGCCAUUGAUACUGUAGGGCUUGAGUACAGUUGCUGUGGGCGGAAUAUGACAUGUAGUGGUGAAAUACAUAGAGAUGUCAUAGAACACCGAUUGCGAAGGCAGCUCACAAAACUGUAACUGACACUGAGGCUCGAAAGUGCGGGGAUCAAACAGG
rnacentral:rRNA from 1 species